AGCUUGCUGGGGGAUUAGUGGCGAACGGGUGAGUAACACGUGAGUAACCUCCCCUUGACUCUGGGAUAAGCCUGGGAAACUGGGUCUAAUACCGGAUAUGACCAUCUGGCGCAUGUCAUGGUGGUGGAAAGCUUUUGUGGUUUUGGAUGGACUCGCGGCCUAUCAGCUUGUUGGUGGGGUAAUGGCCUACCAAGGCGACGACGGGUAGCCGGCCUGAGAGGGUGACCGCCCACACUGGGACUGAGACACGGCCCAGACUCCUACGGGAGGCAGCAGUGGGGAAUAUUGCACAAUGGGCGCAAGCCUGAUGCAGCGACGCCGCGUGAGGGAUGACGGCCUUCGGGUUGUAAACCUCUUUCAGUAGGGAAGAAGCGAAAGUGACGGUACCUGCAGAAGAAGCGCCGGCUAACUACGUGCCAGCAGCCGCGGUAAUACGUAGGGCGCAAGCGUUAUCCGGAAUUAUUGGGCGUAAAGAGCUCGUAGGCGGUUUGUCGCGUCUUCUGUGAAAGACCGGGGCUCAACUCCGGUUCUGCAGUGGGUACGGGCAGACUAGAGUGCAGUAGGGGAGACUGGAAUUCCUGGUGUAGCGGUGAAAUGCGCAGAUAUCAGGAGGAACACCGAUGGCGAAGGCAGGUCUCUGGGCUGUAACUGACGCUGAGGAGCGAAAGCAUGGGGAGCGAACAGGAUUAGAUACCCUGGGUAGUCCAUGCCGUAAACGUUGGGCACUAGGUGUGGGGGACAUUCCACGUUUUCCGCGCCGUAGCUAACGCAUUAAGUGCCCCGCCUGGGGAGUACGGCCGCAAGGCUAAAACUCAAAGGAAUUGACGGGGGCCCGCACAAGCGGCGGAGCAUGCGGAUUAAUUCGAUGCAACGCGAAGAACCUUACCAAGGCUUGACAUGAACCGGAAAGACCUGGAAACAGGUGCCCCGCUUGCGGUCGGUUUACAGGUGGUGCAUGGUUGUCGUCAGCUCGUGUCGUGAGAUGUUGGGUUAAGUCCCGCAACGAGCGCAACCCUCGUUCUAUGUUGCCAGCGCGUUAUGGCGGGGACUCAUAGGAGACUGCCGGGGUCAACUCGGAGGAAGGUGGGGACGACGUCAAAUCAUCAUGCCCCUUAUGUCUUGGGCUUCACGCAUGCUACAAUGGCCGGUACAAAGGGUUGCGAUACUGUGAGGUGGAGCUAAUCCCAAAAAGCCGGUCUCAGUUCGGAUUGGGGUCUGCAACUCGACCCCAUGAAGUCGGAGUCGCUAGUAAUCGCAGAUCAGCAACGCUGCGGUGAAUACGUUCCCGGGCCUUGUACACACCGCCCGUCAAGUCACGAAAGUUGGUAACACCCGAAGCCGGUGGCCUAACCCUUGUGG
rnacentral:rRNA from 1 species